rnacentral:rRNA from 1 species
UACAGAGGUCUCAAGCGUUGUUCGGAUUCAUUGGGCGUAAAGGGUGCGUAGGUGGCGCGCUAAGUCAGGUGUGAAAUUUCGGAGCUUAACUCCGAAACUGCAUUUGAUACUGGCGUGCUUGAGGACUGGAGAGGAGACUGGAAUUCAUGGUGUAGCAGUGAAAUGCGUAGAGAUCAUGGGGAAGACCAGUGGCGAAGGCGGGUCUCUGGACAGUUCCUGACACUGAGGCACGAAGGCCAGGGGAGCAAACGGG